rnacentral:lncRNA from 10 species
UAUAGCUUCAAUGAUUUCACCUGGGCCAAGAUUUUGGUUUUUUUUGAUGUUAUUUGUUUGAACUGCUGCCUGGGGCUUAGAAAAGUGACUUGGAUAUUUUGUCAAAAUGGAUUUUCUUUGAUGGAAUGUGAAAUCCGUAAACACUCUGCUUUCCUGCUGUAUCCCCAGAGCAGGUUGAGUACCUUGCACUUCUUCUCAGCACUUCGCUAGAAGUGGUAGAAGAUUUGGAGUUAGGGCCUCCCUCAAUCCCUACCCUUUCUUUAAUUCAGAGGAUCACAAACUGUUGGGAGAAGAGUGGUAUCUUGGGCCUCUAGCUGAUCUGAUGAAUAUUAAUAUCCAAUGUCCUGUAGUGAAGUCAUGUGUGCGUGUAACAUCACUUCUUCACGCAGUGUCAUAGGAAAGUGGGUUCCUGGACCCCAGGUUAAGAGCCUAAGCACUAAAGGCACAGAGCUAGAGCUCUAGGAGGGGAGGGAUGGCUGGGGUGGAACCUCGUCUUGUCAUUUAGUCCUGGGGCCUUUUCACUCCUUACAUGGUGGGUGGUGGGCGUCUGGCAGGUGCCGAUGUUGAUGGAGUCAAGGGAGGGAACUAGCCGGGACAGGGAAAAACAGGGUUGGAGAGAUAAUUAAGGUGGACGUUAUUUUUUCUGAGCGUAAGUCGUGGCUGGAAAUCUGGAGAGCCUGAAAGAGUAUCCCCCUACCCAAACCUGUUUUUUCCUUUUCCCUCAAGCCUCAUUUGGCCACAGGCCCAGUGUCAACACCAGGGGGCGCCACAGACCAUGAAGGCACCGUGCAGCUGGGAUUGUUUGUGGUCGGCUACUGGGUGCCUCAGUUUCUUAAUCUGUGAAAUGGUGAGGACAUUACAGCAUUUACCUCUGGGGCGGGUUUCUCAACAGCAGCACUAUUAACAAUUUGGGACAGAGAAUCUUGUGGAGUGGUCUGUCCUGUGCAUUGUGGGAGGUUUGCCAGCAACACCCCACUCACCCCCUCCCACCAAUCCCCAUGUGACAACCGAAAAUGUCCCAGGAUUUUUAGGUCUCCCUUGGGUCUAGAAGCUGCACUUAGGCAUUUUCCCACCUGACACUUGAGUUCAUCUCUGCUUUGGUCCACAUAAGGCCACUUUAAAAAAAUGUUGUUUCUUUAAAGAUUCUAACCAUCUUUUAAACAAAUCCAUUUUCUUCCUCUAUUUCUGCAUUCAGUUAAUCCUUCCAAACCCUUUGUUUAGUAUAUCUUGAAAUGUAUCAAUUCCUGUUCUAGUAAUUAACAUAUGUGACUUGCAUGAUAUCUGCUAUGACCCUUAGUAGAGCUCUGAUUCCUUUAGCACAGGGAAUGUGUUCUCGAUUCUGCUCUGGAUGAUGUAAAUCAAUUUAUUUUACUUUACUUGUCUGGGAUGUUGCUCCUCAUCUGUAAGAUGUAAAUGUGGAUAUGGCUUGGAUUACUAAGUGGUUUUAUUUCUUAAUUCACCUGACAUUUGUUGUGUGCCUGCUGCAAGUCAAAUACAUGGCAUGGUAUUGUUUCCUUGUUCACACCACAGCAAAUGAGAAAAUGAGACAUUAUAGCCAGGUGUGGCGGCACAGGCUUGUGGUCCUAGCUACUCGGAAGGCUGAGGCAGGAGAAUUGCUCCAGCCCAGGAGUUUGAGGUUACAGUAAGGUAUGAUAUCACCAUUGCAUUUCAACCUGGGCAACAGACCCUGUCUCUGAAAAAAGGGAAAAAGACCUUGUGAGCUGUCUACGUGUACUCUAUGUCUCAGGAGACUCAUAUCCUGUAAUUUUUCUAAAUGGCGUCUCCAUGUGGUCUUUCAUGAAUGUUUGUCUGGUAUUCUCUAUCCUUUUACUUUCAACUUUUCUUUACCUUCUACUGAAAUUAUGUCUUUUGUAAACAGCCCAUGAUUAUUUAUUUAGUUAUUUAUUUUUACCCCCCUGCACUAUUUGUCUUGUAAUUGGAGUGUCUGAGUCCAUUAUGUUUAAUGUAAUUAUUGACCUCAUUGGGUUUAAGUCUGUCCAUUGUCAUUUGCUGCCUUCUAAUAUUAUCUCUUUCUUGCUCAACUAUUUUUCUUAUGUUACCUUCUUUAGAUGAAUAAAAACCUUUGCAUUAUUGU